ACUUAUGUGAAGCCUACUUUGAUGAUAAAGAACUCACAGAAACAAAAACUGAGUUUGAAAGAAACCAUAAUAUCAACAGAUUUGUUUUUGAGGCUCCUUAUACAUUGUCAGGCAAAAAGCAAAGUUGUAUAGAAGAACAGUGUAAAGGCCGUACAAUCUUGACUACUUCAAACUCAUUUCCAUAUGUGAAGAAGAGGAUUUCUAUAAACUAUGAACAGCAGAUUCAUUUAAAGCCAAUUGAUGUUGCCACGGAUAAAAUAAAGCUGCAGAGCUGCAAAAGCUUUGCUCUUCUGCUGACGUGGACAUGAUUCAGCUCCAGCUUAAAUUGCAGGGCUGUGUUUCAGUGCAGGUAAAUGUAGGUCCAUAAGCAUAUGCCAGGGCUGUCUUAAAUGAUAGUCAAACUAGCAAGUAUCCACCCAAAAAAGUAAAUGAGUUGAAAGACAUGUUUAGAUAAUACAAGAAGACCCGAUGCACUCUCCCUGGAUGAGCAACACACUACGUGUAUUUUGUGCAAUUAGUGGUAUGUCAAGUGACCAAAGUUAUGGUUCCCCAAGAUACACUGCUGAAAUAUGAGGACAUGCAGAUGUCAAGUGACAACAAGACUGAACUUCUCAGGAAUAUUUGGAGGGGUGCAAAUGUUAAAAAUUUAAAGAUUUGUUGUACACAGAUUUCUGCUGUAUAGUAGUGAUUCAGUAUACACACACACAUAUAUUUUUUCAUAUUCUUUUCCACACAGUUUAUCAUGGGAUGCUGAAAAUGGCUUUUUGUGCUAUGCAGUAGGACCUUGUUGUGUAUUCAUGGUAUAUAUAAUAGUUUGCAUUAGCUAAUCCCAAACUCCCAAUACUUCCCUCCCCCACCCUGCUUCCUCAUGGCAACUGGAAAUCUGUAAGAAAUAUUUUUGAUUUCUGAUUGUUUCUUUUUUCUAUGCUGCCAAGGUUAGGAUGAUUAGAAGUAACUACAUGUCUUUUAAAAUGACCUUUUCCUUUCUGUAAAAGUGAACUACCACAGCAAACUGCUCCUUGAAUGACACAAAACUCUGUUCCAAAACAAACACCUAGAAAUGUUGUAUAAAAUACAACAUCACACAUAGAGAUUUCACACUGUCUCCCCUCUCCUCAAACCUCCAGUUUCUUCUCUACCAUGUCACUCUCAGCAAAUGAUCUUUUUUCUGAUUUCACUGAAAAAAUAGGAAUCAGAAGAGGACGUCCGCAUCUUCCCUGCUGCCAACUCCCCCAAACUCUAUGCUCCCUUUCCUCCUGAUCUCCCCUCAUCUCAUGACCACGUAUAUGCUGAUGACUCCCACAGGCAUAUCUCCAACACAAAUAUCUCUAAACUUGAAAAUGCUAUGCCCAACUGAAUCAUGUCUCCCCUUGCAUAUCUCUAGUUUAACCAGGUCUCUUGAUUUCCAUCCCCCAAGCUUGCUUGUUUCCCAGAAUUCCUCGUCUCUGUAAGUGACAUCACCAAUCAAUGAUUGCUCAGGCCAGAAGAUGCACUAUCUUAUAUGAGUAAAAACGUGCUAUAUUUGUAAAGCAUAAUUGAGUUGAAUGUAAUUGUUGUUAAAGUGUGCUUGUUCAGUUUAUAAAUACUUGACACUGUUAAAAUUUGACCUGUAUUCAGACAAAUCCCCAAACAGGUCAAUUAAACAAUGAAAUAUAAUAUCUCAUUGUCCAACCUGUCUCAUAUCAGGGACAAAUUUCAUUAAUGUAUUUGAUUACUUGAUCUGAUAUCUAUUUGUAAUGAACAGCCAACAUCUUUCUAGUAAACAAGGCAUUUGCUUUUCAA